GAAGUUCAUAGUAGAAGUAAUACCUAAAUUAUUAUAACUUCAAAUUCUUUAAUUAAAGUUUUGAAAUGAUUUUACAGGCCAAAAAAACUAAAAAAAUGAUUGAACAAGUUCUUAUGAAAUGAUUCUACCAAACAAGAGGAGUACAGGAGCAGUUGGCACUGCCAGUAAUUACUAAUUAAACUGCAUUAAAUAAAUUAAUCAUGUCAUAAUUUGCUUGAGCAGGUAACCAAAUUUACUCCUCCUAAUCUAUGGCCCCAUUCUACAAACUUGGUAUGUUCCUUUUUUCCCUCAGUAAGAAGUACUAAUCAUUAUUCAUUACACACUCUCUUCUUCAACUUCUUAUUGGAAUUUUAAUUCUACUGUGAUCGAUACCUUACAUUUUGGGAUUUGAAUCUUUUGUUGAAUUUUUGAUAUUUCAUCCUAAAUUCAACUAAAGAACUGUUUGAUGCUUUCUGGGUUUAUACCCAAAAUCAUAAAUUGUUUGAUUCUCUACCAGUUUAAGGCAAAUUUUUACAUUUUUAAGGGGAAUUUGUUGCCAAUUGACCUUAUUUAAUUUUCCCAAUUCGGAUUAUUACCAAAAAGUUUUUUUUUUUUUUUUUUCAAUCUGUUCAAUUUUCUUUCUAAUUCUGGUGUUUGAUUUGAUGUUUGUGCAAAUUCAAUGUAUUAUUUGCUCUGUAUCAUUGAUAGUUGAAUACCCAUUUGGAUCCCAGUUUCCCACAACUAUUCUGCUUAAGAAGCUGUCUUGAAUCUGAUCCUCCUUUCUUAUUAAAGAAAAAGAAACCCAGCUAAAAAAUUCUCGGUUUUAUACAAUAAUGUUUCGGGACAAACCACUAGAAGUUAGAACUGAUCUAUUAAUUCAUGUAGCCGACCAUAAUUUUUUGGGAUUAAGACUUUGAGAUUGUUUGUUGUAUAAUAGAAGUAACUGAGAUUUUAUAAAAAAAAUACAAAGAAAACUGUUAGUGAGUAAAGGAAAUCAAAAGUCCAACACUGAAGAAAACAAGUUACAGAAGAAGAAAAGGGAAUCUGCUUUCUUUAUGUAAUUCUGGUGAGCUGUUAUUUACUUGCACUAGUCACUAUUUAUGCUAUUCAUUUCUUCUUUGUUUGUAUACUUUAUGCCCUGAAAAUUUCUCACUUUCCUGUCUGUUAUGUGAUACUAUACUUCUACUAACCAGUGUUGAAAAUCAAGGGAGAAACUACCUUAUAGUAUGUGUAGAUAUGUACUACUCUAUCCCUUUAAAUUUGCUAAAUUAGGCGACUUAAAGUGAGAGCUUUUUGAACGAGGUGUAGCAAAUUCAAAGGGUCAGAGAAUAGAUAUAGGACUAGCCGACUAGGAGUAGAUUUUAUGCCUGAUACUUUGGAUUUCCCUUUUAUUUUUCUGGGAAUUAGUUGCAUCAUAAGAUGCUGAAUUAAGAGGUUUUCUUUUGCUUUAGGUCCUUUCUAGUCAGUGUGUCUACAAAAGCUGCAAAGGUUAUUUGUUCCUUGUUGAGUUCUACAAGAUAUCAGUUGCUGAUUUUGGUCACCUUUGGCUUUAGCUCACAUAGCUCCUUUACUUAAUUUAUCAUAUUUUGCAUCUUUUAUGUACUGGUUUGUUAGUGGUAGAGGUGUUCAUUCGGGUCAUCAGGUUGAUUUCGGGUUAUGUGUUUUGUGUCGGUUUGAUAUCGGGUUAUGUGUUCAUAUUGGUUUUUACAUAAUUGUAAAUAAUUUUUGAAGUCGGGUCAAUCGGGUUCAGUUACAAGUUCGGGUAAGAUUCAGGUCAUAGGGUCUGUUUUGAACACCUCUAGUUAGUGGUAUAUGUUGAAUUGUGUGUGACUAUUUUUACACUUUGGGUGUAUUUUAGUAACUUACAUUCUGGUUUUUUAUUAUUCUCUAGAACAUGGGUGAUGAUGGGAUUAGUCAAAUGGGUUUUCAACAAAGUGCCAAACUGAUAAUUUUGGUGCUUCUGCUUCAAUGGUUUCUCAUGCCGAGUUGAUUAAAUCGUCGUCAUAUCCUCUUUUAAUGGAAAACCAUGGGAUUAGUAGCACACACCUUGUAAACUACUCCAAUCCCAACGUUGCUCAAAUGUUGCCGAAGCUUCCAAUGUUGGGGAACAAGAAUUACACUGACAUUGCUAAUCCCUUUGACGUUUCCGGGGGUCUACACACUCUUAAUGCUCCCUUUCCACAAAAUUAUGCAUCCGGUAGAAGUGGGUUAGAUGAGAAGGAAUCGGUGGAUGUUACACAAGCUAAGAGAGGCUGUCAAUUCGUGGAGGAAAGAACUGUAGGAGUAUCACCAAACGGCAAGAGGAAGAGAGGCACGGACUCUCCUUCACUAGAAGAGAAUACUACUGGAGAGCUAUACAAAGACCAUCUAAGUGAUGCUUCAUGCCAAAACGAACAAGAGGAUAGGAAAAAGAAAAAUGACCGGGAUGCUGCUGGUGAUUCAUGCUGUAAGAAAGCAGGAAAACAAGUGAAAGAAAAUUCUCAAGACGAAAAAGCUCCUAAACAAAAUUACAUUCAUGUGAGGGCUAGACGCGGUCAGGCUACAAAUAGUCACAGUCUUGCCGAAAGGGUAAGACGAGAGAAGAUCAGCGAGAGAAUGAGACUUCUUCAAGAGCUUGUUCCGGGGUGUAAUAAGAUUACCGGGAAAGCUGUGAUGCUUGAUGAGAUAAUAAACUAUGUGCAAUCACUUCAGCAACAGGUUGAGUUUCUAUCAAUGAAACUUGCCACCGUCAAUCCUGAAUUAAACUUCGACAUUGAGCGCCUUCUAUCCAAAGAUAUUCUACAUUCACGAGGUAGCGGUCCGCCUGUUCUCGGUUUCAACCAACCCAUGAGCUCCUCUCUUGCUUUCUCUCAGGGACUUCAUCAAUGUUUGGCCACAAUGCCAAAUUCAACUUCACAAUAUCAUCACUUGCCUCAGGCUGUUUGGGAUAGUGACCUUCAAAGUCUUCUUCAAAUGGGUUUUGACUCUAACUCUGCUGUCUGUGGUCUAGGACUAAAUGGUAGCUCAAAGUUGGAAAUGUAGGAUUAUUGUGGGAAAUUUGCAGGUUCUGAUCCCUCCUAACCUAAAAUUCAAUUUAUAGUUGACUACGCAAUGACCUGAGUAGAAAAAAACGAAGGAAAAAUAUAUAUUUGCAGGAAACAGAUAAUGCAGGCCUCGGUGUGGUGUUGUAAAUGUGUUCAGCUCCUGACGUUUCUUCGAGUUUUAGAGAAGGUGUUUUGUUAGGUUCACAACUUCUUUGUAAAUUGAAAAGCUGUUUGAUAACCAUUCGAACUUGAUCAUUUUUUUCGUACCAAGUGAACAAAAAGCUUCAGAAUGUUUAAAUCGAGUGCAGUAAGUAGCAAUGCAUUGCAGAGACCUUUGUCCAACAUCGUGAAGGCGACAUACCAACCGAGAGUCCAAGACGCACGCAUUAUCGGGGCUCGCCUUACGCCUUUAAUGAGGAAAUUCUUGAAUGAGUAAUUCAUUGUUAUCAUCUCAUGUCUCAUUGUUAGCAUUGAGGGAGUAAUAAAUAGAUGCUUUUAUUUCUUUAGGGAAGAUGGGUAAAUAAGUUAACCUACUUUCCUAGUUAGAUGUCAUUCGGCUAUCACGGCUCAAUUUUGGGUCGAAUUAAAAUCAGUUCUUGUAUCAACAUUGGUUGUUGCAUAAUCCUAACUUCAUUUUAAAGUCGAGUUAAAUUAAGGUUCGGUUAUAAGGUCGAGUUAAUCUCAGAUCGUCGGAUUUGUUUUAAAUACCUAUAUCUUUGGUAAAUCUUUCCUCUCCGUCUUCUGUUAUUGUACCAAAUUUGUUUGGUCCCUGUCACUUGAUUACUUGAGGAAGCAUCGGUAAAAUUGUACUUCCUAUCUUAAUUUUUUGAUACUAUUAAUUUUAGAUUUUUCUUCGAUUUUGAAAAAAUUUUAUUGUUGAUAAUGGUCUCACAUUUUGUCACUUCUCUCAUCGAGAUACGUGUUGUCUCUAUAUAUUUCAUUCACUUAUUUUUACGUAAACGUAUUUUGUCUUAUACUCCAAAAAUACGAAUUAAGAAAGCAAGUUUGUUUCUUUAAAGUAGAAAAAAAGGCGUAAGGAUAUUAAACAAAAAUAAUUGUAAGUUUUUCUACUUGCAAGUAAUCCGUUGACUUUGUGAACCAUAAAUUUCAAAGAUUACUUUUAUAUUUCAUUGAUCGGAUGAAAAAAAGACAAUUUAUUCACUUUGUGAACCAUGACGGACAAGUAUAUCAUAUGUACGUUGCUUUGUUAUAGCUAAACUUU